rnacentral:tRNA from 1 species
AGGGACUUAGGUUAAAUUAAACCCGGAGUCUUCAAAACUCCUAUUAGAGCCAGAGCUUUAGUCCUUG